UACGGAGGGUGCGAGCGUUAUCCGGAUUUACUGGGUUUAAAGGGUGCGUAGGCGGGAUAAUAAGUCUGUGGUGAAAGUUUGUAGCUUAACUAUAAAAUUGCCAUAGAUACUGUUAUUCUUGAAUUACAAUGAGGAUGGCGGAAUGUGACAUGUAGCGGUGAAAUGCAUAGAUAUGUCAUAGAACACCAAUUGCGAAGGCAGCUAUCUAGUUGUAUAUUGACGCUGAGGCACGAAAGCGUGGGGAUCGAACAGG
rnacentral:ncRNA from 2 species